rnacentral:rRNA from 1 species
UACAGAGGUGGCAAGCGUUGUUCGGAAUUACUGGGCGUAAAGGGCGCGUAGGCGGUCUUGUAAGUCUUGUGUGAGAUCCCUCGGCUUAACUGAGGAACUGCACGGGAUACUGCGAGACUUGAGAUCGGGAGAGGGAAGCGGAAUUCCGGGUGUAGCGGUGAAAUGCGUAGAUAUCCGGAGGAACACCGGUGGCGAAGGCGGCUUCCUGGACCGAUACUGACGCUGAGGCGCGAAAGCUAGGGGAGCAAACGGG